AAUUGAAGAGUUUGAUCAUGGCUCAGAUUGAACGCUGGCGGCAGGCCUAACACAUGCAAGUCGAGCGGUAGCACAGAGAGCUUGCUCUCGGGUGACGAGCGGCGGACGGGUGAGUAAUGUCUGGGAAACUGCCUGAUGGAGGGGGAUAACUACUGGAAACGGUAGCUAAUACCGCAUAAUGUCGCAAGACCAAAGUGGGGGACCUUCGGGCCUCAUGCCAUCAGAUGUGCCCAGAUGGGAUUAGCUAGUAGGUGGGGUAACGGCUCACCUAGGCGACGAUCCCUAGCUGGUCUGAGAGGAUGACCAGCCACACUGGAACUGAGACACGGUCCAGACUCCUACGGGAGGCAGCAGUGGGGAAUAUUGCACAAUGGGCGCAAGCCUGAUGCAGCCAUGCCGCGUGUGUGAAGAAGGCCUUCGGGUUGUAAAGCACUUUCAGCGGGGAGGAAGGCGAUAAGGUUAAUAACCUUGGCGAUUGACGUUACCCGCAGAAGAAGCACCGGCUAACUCCGUGCCAGCAGCCGCGGUAAUACGGAGGGUGCAAGCGUUAAUCGGAAUUACUGGGCGUAAAGCGCACGCAGGCGGUCUGUCAAGUCGGAUGUGAAAUCCCCGGGCUCAACCUGGGAACUGCAUUCGAAACUGGCAGGCUAGAGUCUUGUAGAGGGGGGUAGAAUUCCAGGUGUAGCGGUGAAAUGCGUAGAGAUCUGGAGGAAUACCGGUGGCGAAGGCGGCCCCCUGGACAAAGACUGACGCUCAGGUGCGAAAGCGUGGGGAGCAAACAGGAUUAGAUACCCUGGUAGUCCACGCCGUAAACGAUGUCGAUUUGGAGGUUGUGCCCUUGAGGCGUGGCUUCCGGAGCUAACGCGUUAAAUCGACCGCCUGGGGAGUACGGCCGCAAGGUUAAAACUCAAAUGAAUUGACGGGGGCCCGCACAAGCGGUGGAGCAUGUGGUUUAAUUCGAUGCAACGCGAAGAACCUUACCUGGUCUUGACAUCCACAGAACUUUCCAGAGAUGGAUUGGUGCCUUCGGGAACUGUGAGACAGGUGCUGCAUGGCUGUCGUCAGCUCGUGUUGUGAAAUGUUGGGUUAAGUCCCGCAACGAGCGCAACCCUUAUCCUUUGUUGCCAGCGGUCCGGCCGGGAACUCAAAGGAGACUGCCAGUGAUAAACUGGAGGAAGGUGGGGAUGACGUCAAGUCAUCAUGGCCCUUACGACCAGGGCUACACACGUGCUACAAUGGCAUAUACAAAGAGAAGCGACCUCGCGAGAGCAAGCGGACCUCAUAAAGUAUGUCGUAGUCCGGAUUGGAGUCUGCAACUCGACUCCAUGAAGUCGGAAUCGCUAGUAAUCGUAGAUCAGAAUGCUACGGUGAAUACGUUCCCGGGCCUUGUACACACCGCCCGUCACACCAUGGGAGUGGGUUGCAAAAGAAGUAGGUAGCUUAACCUUCGGGAGGGCGCUUACCACUUUGUGAUUCAUGACUGGGGUGAAGUCGUAACAAGGUAACCGUAGGGGAACCUGCGGUUGGAUCACCUCCUUA
rnacentral:rRNA from 1 species